rnacentral:rRNA from 1 species
UUGAACGCUGGCGGUAGGCUUAACACAUGCAAGUCGAGCGGAAACGAAGGUAGCUUGCUACCAGGCGUCGAGCGGCGGACGGGUGAGUAACGCGUGGGAAUUUGCCUAGUAGUGGGGAUAGCCCGGAGAAAAUCCGGAUUAAUACCGCAUAAUCUCUACGGAGUAAAGGUGGCCUCUCCUUGGAAGCUAUCGCUACUAGAUAAGCCCGCGUCAGAUUAGCUUGUUGGUGAGGUAAAGGCUCACCAAGGCGACGAUCUGUAGCUGGUCUGAGAGGAUGAUCAGCCACACUGGGACUGAGACACGGCCCAGACUCCUACGGGAGGCAGCAGUGGGGAAUAUUGGACAAUGGGGGCAACCCUGAUCCAGCAAUACCGCGUGUGUGAAGAAGGCCUGAGGGUUGUAAAGCACUUUCAAUUGUGAAGAAAAGCCUGGGGUUAAUAGCCCCGAGUCUUGACGUUAACUUUAGAAGAAGCACCGGCUAACUCUGUGCCAGCAGCCGCGGUAAUACAGAGGGUGCGAGCGUUAAUCGGAAUUACUGGGCGUAAAGCGUACGUAGGCGGUUUAGUAAGUCAGAUGUGAAAGCCCUGGGCUCAACCUGGGAACUGCAUUUGAAACUGCUGGACUAGAGUGUGGUAGAGGGAAGUGGAAUUCAGGGUGUAGCGGUGAAAUGCGUAGAUAUCCUGAGGAACACCAGUGGCGAAGGCGACUUCCUGGACCAACACUGACGCUGAGGUACGAAAGCGUGGGUAUCAAACAGGAUUAGAUACCCUGGUAGUCCACGCCGUAAACGAUGUCAACUAGUUGUUGGGAGCAUCAAUCCUUUAGUAUCGUAGCUAACGCGAUAAGUUCUCCGCCUGGGGAGUACGGCCGCAAGGUUAAAACUCAAAUGAAUUGAUGGGGGCCCGCACAAGCGGUGGAGCAUGUGGUUUAAGUCGAUGCAACGCGAAGAACCUUACCUGGUCUUGACAUCCUGCGAACUUUCUAGAGAUAGAUUGGUGCCUUCGGGAACGCAGUGACAGGUGCUGCAUGGCUGUCGUCAGCUCGUGUCGUGAGAUGUUGGGUUAAGUCCCGUAACGAGCGCAACCCUUGUCCUUAUUUGCCAGCACGUAAUGGUGGGAACUCUAAGGAGACUGCCGGUGACAAACCGGAGGAAGGUGGGGACGACGUCAAGUCAUCAUGGCCCUUACGACCAGGGCUACACACGUGCUACAAUGGUAAAUACAGAGGGACGCGAGGCCGCGAGGUGGAGCUAACCCCAGAAAAUUUAUCGUAGUCCGGAUUGGAGUCUGCAACUCGACUCCGUGAAGUCGGAAUCGCUAGUAAUCGUGGAUCAGAAUGCCACGUUGAAUACGUUCCCGGGCCUUGUACACACCGCCCGUCAC